GCCGUCCUCUUGGUAACGCGCGCGCUUACACACACCCGCACAGCAUGCUCGCGAUCUCGUGCUCGUUCAGUCCGGGUUAUUUUAUUUUAAGCCAGUGUAGCCAAUUUGUUCUUCCGGGAAUAAUUUAGCACGUCUAGAACGCGUUAGGAAGAACGUUUUGAAAAAUAGAAUAGAACACUUUUUCAUGCGUGCUUUUGGUUUUCGCGAUCGACAGGUAAAGAGGUGUCGUAAUCGUUUUUCAUAUCGACAUUUUGUGUUCCUUUGCAAUGAAACUCAUGGCAUCCGAAUCCAAGAAAGUAUCAUAAUCCAGCAGAAAUACAAGUGCGGCACAGGAGGAAAAAAAUGCGUGUGAAAAUUUAAACCUAUAAAAAGAAAAAAGCCCGCUCACGGGAAAACCCAUGCUUGACAUAAGCAAGCGGUGCAAAAGUAUCGAUGUGUGAAUGUGAGCAUGUCAGUGUGUAUGUGUGUGUAUGUGUGUGAAUAAGUAUGCGCGUUUUCCGUGCCAUUUCCCAACCCAAUAUCUACUCGAGUCAGCAAUGAAAACUUUGUUUUGCUGUUUGCCAAAAUACGUACACACGAAACCGCCUGCAUAUAUGUGCGUGUUUGCUGGUGUUAGUAGUGGUGUGGUAUGUUGAGCUGUCAAAAAAGGAAGCAAAUCAGGAUUCUGAGCAGUAGCAGACAGUUGCUUCGAGCGCGGAAAAACACAGUGCUCUCCGUGUGCUGACCCGUGUCCUGACAACAAGUAAAACUGCGGCAUUGUGCGGUUUUCCACUGCUAGCGGCACUUGCUCUGCCAGUGUGUGUGUGUCUUGGUUUGCGUGUCUGUGCAACCGAGCAGGAAUGUUUUGUGAUGCAAAUCCCCAUCCUGCCCCAGUGUGUGAAGUGUUGUUUGUGCUGUCGGAGUGAUUUCGUGUAAUGAUUUGUGGUGAGAAAGAAAAUCUUAACCCCCACCGGGGGGUGCUGCAUUACUUAUUGUCUCUGAUCGAUCGAAUGCAGCAUUUGUGUGGCGUUGUGUGAAUUUUAUAAUCCGAACGGAAGUGUGCUACCGGUGAAGUGGUGCAAAAUCAUAACAACAACACCACCACCACCGAAAACAAAAGCCCAGAUCCCCCCCUCGGUUGGCAGCUGCGUGGGAAAAACUGAUCUAAAUCGCAUACCGUAAAACACCCGGCGUCGUUUCGUUCCACAAGCGUAGCAACAAUUUCGAUCAGUACCGCAAAUAACGUACCGUAACGCAUCGUAACGCUUCGUUCGAGUGGAGCACUCGCGCACGUGUUCGCGCAAGAAAACGGUCGGAACGGGAGGGAUGAAUGAAGGGAGCAAAAGAUGCGAUGAGCAAUGUGUACCUAAAAAAACAAGUGUUGAGAAGUGUUGCAUGUCGAAUAUGCCAGUACAAAAAAAAAGUGCUAUCGACCGCAGUAAAUGUGACACAGUUGCGGCCAGCUCCCUAACGUGAUUUUUCAUUGUACCGUGUGCGUAUGCUCUUUGUUGAACAAAAGAAAAGUUAGUAAACGUCAACUUCAAACGUGUAUGUAUAAUUAAACAAUUUGUUUUUCUUAGUUUAAAUUCGUUUAAAAUGUUGAUUUUCUCCAAAUUAAAUGUUCCAUAAAUUUUACAAACCCAGUCACUAAGUAGAAAUUGUUCCGUAGACGUAGAUUAUGUUGUUCAGAAGUGGUUCCUGGCGCGACGAUUACAGUGAGUGCAAUAACUGUCUCCGUUGGGCAACCGACAACGAAAAAUAAGUGCAAUCCAGUGAUAAACGUAGUGAUAAAUAAUAUUUUUAGGCAUUAGGAUCUUCCGUAUCUUCCUGCAAAGUUGUGCACUGUCCGCUGGCUGUUGCGGGAGUGUGUUGUGUUUGUGUAUCGUAAGGUGACGUUAUCACCUCGUGUCAGUUUGCUUCGUGUAAUCGAUAAGCGUUAGUCAUCAUAGCUUCCAAAACGGCAUCCAGCAGCGGUUGGCGAGCAAGCAGCAAGGUGCCCCAGGAAGAUGUAAGCGAUGAAGGUGCUACCGGAAGCUAUGACGAUGGUGCGACCACGAGACGCGGCCGGUUCCGUGUGUCGGCACCAUCGACCGGCCCUCCAGAAACCACCGUAGGUCGGUUCCGUUUGAUACCGC